AAGUCGUAACAAGGUUUCCGUAGGUGAACCUGCGGAAGGAUCAUUAUCAUCCUAUUUUUUAUUUUUUGUCACAAAAAAAUAAAAAAUUACCAUAAACUAAUCGUGAACUGUAUUUGCCUCCAAUGAGGGAAAAUUCAAAAGUGAGUGUAUCUUUUUUGAUGCCAUGAAAGAAUGUUGAAUUUGUUUUCAAUUUUUUUUCACACAAUUGUUUUUUUUCUCUUAUUGGUUGUAUUUUCAUUUUUUUUUUAUUUACCCUUUGAACAACUCAUUUCAUACAAAAUAUGAACUGAAUUAUUUUUUUUUCUUUUAAUUUUUUUUUGAAAGAAAAAAAGGAUAAAUUAUUAAUGAAAAAUAAGAGAAAACAACUCUUAGCAACGGAUAUCUUGGUUCUC
rnacentral:misc_RNA from 1 species